UAAAUAUACUACUAAAGGUUGUCUUUCUCGACCAUGCCAGGUGUUCCACCAAAGUCUUCCCAACUACCUGUCCGACGAAAUUGAACGCAUUCAAAGGCGUGCUAUGCGAAUCGUCUACCCUGGUUUAAAAUAUGAAGAAGCGUUAGCCAAAGCUAAUAUCACCACAUUACACUCUAGACGCGAACUCUUAUCUCGUAAAUUGUUUAAAGAUAAUGUUAAUGACAAAAACCACAAGCUGGCCGAACUUUUACCACCCAAGUCAAGCCACAACAAG